rnacentral:rRNA from 1 species
GGCGGCAGGCUUAACACAUGCAAGUCGAGCGGAAACGAUGAUAGCUUGCUAUCAGGCGUCGAGCGGCGGACGGGUGAGUAAUACUUAGGAAUCUACCUAGUAGUGGGGGAUAGCACGGGGAAACUCGUAUUAAUACCGCAUACGUCCUACGGGAGAAAGGGGGCAACUUGUUGCUCUCGCUAUUAGAUGAGCCUAAGUCGGAUUAGCUAGAUGGUGGGGUAAAGGCCUACCAUGGCGACGAUCUGUAGCUGGUCUGAGAGGAUGAUCAGCCACACCGGGACUGAGACACGGCCCGGACUCCUACGGGAGGCAGCAGUGGGGAAUAUUGGACAAUGGGGGAAACCCUGAUCCAGCCAUGCCGCGUGUGUGAAGAAGGCCUUUUGGUUGUAAAGCACUUUAAGCAGUGAAGAAGACUCUUCGGUUAAUACCCGGAGACGAUGACAUUAGCUGCAGAAUAAGCACCGGCUAACUCUGUGCCAGCAGCCGCGGUAAUACAGAGGGUGCAAGCGUUAAUCGGAAUUACUGGGCGUAAAGCGAGCGUAGGUGGCUUGAUAAGUCAGAUGUGAAAUCCCCGGGCUUAACCUGGGAACUGCAUCUGAAACUGUUAGGCUAGAGUAGGUGAGAGGGAAGUAGAAUUUCAGGUGUAGCGGUGAAAUGCGUAGAGAUCUGAAGGAAUACCGAUGGCGAAGGCAGCUUCCUGGCAUCAUACUGACACUGAGGCUCGAAAGCGUGGGUAGCAAACAGGAUUAGAUACCCUGGUAGUCCACGCCGUAAACGAUGUCUACUAGUCGUUGGGUCCCUUGAGGACUUAGUGACGCAGCUAACGCAAUAAGUAGACCG